AUUAAAAAAUCUUACAUGCAGUCGAGCGGAAGGCCCUUCGGGGUACUCGAGCGGCGAACGGGUGAGUAACACGUGAGCAACCUGCCCUAGGCUUUGGGAUAACCCUCGGAAACGGGGGCUAAUACCGAAUAUUCACUUGCGGGCGCAUGUUUGUGGGUGGAAAGUUUUUCGGCUUGGGAUGGGCUCGCGGCCUAUCAGCUUGUUGGUGGGGUGAUGGCCUACCAAGGCGACGACGGGUAGCCGGCCUGAGAGGGCGACCGGCCACACUGGGACUGAGACACGGCCCAGACUCCUACGGGAGGCAGCAGUGGGGAAUAUUGCACAAUGGGCGGAAGCCUGAUGCAGCGACGCCGCGUGAGGGAUGACGGCCUUCGGGUUGUAAACCUCUUUCAGCAGGGACGAAGCGCGAGUGACGGUACCUGCAGAAGAAGCGCCGGCCAACUACGUGCCAGCAGCCGCGGUAAGACGUAGGGCGCGAGCGUUGUCCGGAUUUAUUGGGCGUAAAGAGCUCGUAGGCGGCUUGUCGCGUCGACUGUGAAAACCCACGGCUCAACUGUGGGCUUGCAGUCGAUACGGGCAGGCUAGAGUUCGGUAGGGGAGACUGGAAUUCCUGGUGUAGCGGUGAAAUGCGCAGAUAUCAGGAGGAACACCGGUGGCGAAGGCGGGUCUC
rnacentral:rRNA from 1 species